GGACAGUGAUUUUAACCCUAACGCCAAAAACCUUAAACCUUACCCCAGCCCCAUAACCUAAUACCCGGGUAUUACCUUCAGGAAGCCCGAACACCCCAAAUAUUUUUUUUUCAUUUUUCAUUUUUAUUUGGUCUAACUAACUCCAAAAGGUUGGAAAAGAGUUCCUACAAAGGUUUUGGACAGUGAUUUAAACCCUAACGCCAAAACCUUAAACCUUACCCUAGCCCCAAAUCUUAAUACCCGGGUAUUACCUUCAGGAAGCCCAAACACCCCAAAUAUUUUUUUUUUCAUUUUUCAUUUUUAUUUGGUCUAACUAACUCCCAAAGGUUGGAAAACAGUUCCUACAAAGGUUUUGGACAGUGAUUUUAACCCUAACGCCAAAAACCUUAAACCUUACCUAGCCCCAAAACUUAAUACCCGUGUAUUAUCUUCAGGAAGCCCGAACACCCCAAAUAUUUUUUUUUCAUUUUUCAUUUUUAUUUGGUCUAACUAACUCCAAAAGGUUGGAAAACAGUUCCUACAAAGGUUUUGGACAGUGAUUUAAACCCUAACGCCAAAACCUUAAACCUUACCCUAGCCCCAACUCUUAAUACCCGGGUAUUACCUUCAGGAAGCCCAAACACCCCAAAUAUAUUUUUUUCAUUUUUCAUUUUUAUUUGGUCUAACUAACUCCAAAAGGUUGGAAAACAGUUCCUACAAAGGUUUUGGACAGUGAUUUAAACCCUAACGCCAAAACCUUAAACCUUACCCUAGCCCCAACUCUUAAUACCCGGGUAUUACCUUCAGGAAGCCCAAACACCCCAAAUAUUUUUUUAUUUUUUUUUAUUUUUAUUUGGUGUAACCAACUCCAAAAGGUCUGAAACAUGUUCCUAAAUAGGUUUUGGACAGUCAUUUUAACCCUAACGCCAAAAACCUUAAACCUUACCCUAGCCCCAAAACCUAAUAUUAUUAACCGUAUUACCUUCAGGAAGCCCGAAAACCCCAAAUAUUUUUUUUUUUCAUCUUUCUUUUUUUUUGGUCUAACUAACUCCCAAAGCUUGGAAAAUAGUUCCUACAAAGGUUUUGGACAGUGAUUUUAACCCUAAUGCCAAAAACCUUAAACCUUACCCUAGCCCCAACUCUUAAUACCCGGGUAUUACCUUCAGGAAGCCCAAACACCCCAAAUAUUUUUUUUUCAUUUUUCAUUUUUAUUUGGUCUAACUAACUCCAAAAGGUUGGAAAACAGUUCCUACAAAGGUUUUGGACAGUGAUUUUAACCCUAACGCCAAAACCUUAAACCUUACCCUAGCCCCAAUUCUUAAUACCCGGGUAUUACCUUCAGGAAGCCCUAACACCCCAAAUAUAAAUAUAUUUUUUUAAAUUUUUUUUGGUCUAACUAUCUCCAAAAGGUUGGAAAAGAGUUACUACAAAGGUUUUGGACAGUCAUUUUAACCGCAACGCCAAAAACCUUAAAACUUCCCUAGCCCCAAAACCUAAUAUUAUGCAAGUAUUACCUUCAGGAAGCCCGAAAACCCCAAAUAUUUUUUUUUUCAUUUUUUGUUUUUUUCGGUCUAACUAACUCCAAAAUGUUGGAAAAGAGUUACUACAAAGGUUUUGGACAGUGAUUUUAACCCUAACGCCAAAAACCUUAAACCUUCCCUUAGCCCCUAAACCUAAUACCUGGGUAUUACCUUCAGGAAGCCAGAACACCCCAAAUAUAUAUAUAUAUUUUUUCAUUUUUCAUUUGGUCUAACUAACUCCCAAAGGGUUGGAAAAGAGUUCCUACAAAGGUUUUGGACAGUGAUUUUAACCCUAACGCCAAAAAAACCUAAACCUUACCAUAGCCCCAAAACCUAAUUCCCGGGUAUUACCUUCAGGAAGCCCGAACCCCCUAAAUAUAUAUUUUUUUAUUUUUCAUUUGUUUUUGGUCUAACUAACUUCAAAAGGUUGGAAAAGAGUUCCUACAAAGGUUUUGGACAGUGUUUUUAACCCUAAUGCCAAAAACCUUAAACCUUACCCUAGCCCCAAAACCUAGUAGUAUUACCUUCAGGAAGCCCGAAAACCCCAAAUUCUUCUUUUUCAUUUUUCAUUUUUUUUGGUCUAACUAACUCCAAAAGGUUGGAAAAGAGUUCCUACAAAGGUUUUGGACAGUGAUUUUAACCCUAACGCCAAAAACCUUAAACCUUUCCCUAGCCACAAAACCUAAUACCCGUGUAUUAUCUUCAGGAAGCCCGAACACCACAAAUAUUUUUUUUUCAUUUUUCAUUUUUUUUGGUCUUACUAACUCCAAAAGGUUGGAAGAGUUCCUACAAACGUUUUGGACAGUGAUUUAAACCCUAACGCCAAAACCUUAAACCUUACCCCAGCCCCAAAUCUUAAUACCCGGGUAUUACCUUCAGGAAGCCCGAAAACCCCAAAUAUAUUUUUUUCAUUUUUCAUUUUUAUUUGGUCUAACUAACUCCAAAUGGUUGGAAAAGAGUUCCUACAAAGGUUUUGGACAGUGAUUUUAACCCUAACGCCAAAAACCUUAAACCUUUCCCUAGCCCCAAAACCUAAUACCCGUGUAUUAUCUUCAGGAAGCCCGAACACCACAAAUAUAUUUUUUUUCAUUUUUCAUUUUCUUUUUGGUCUAACUAACUCCAAAAGCUUGGAAAAUAGUUCCUACAAAGGUUUUGGACAGUGAUUUAAACCCUGACGCCAAAACCUUAAACCUUACCCUAGCCCCAAAUCUUAAUACCUGGGUAUUACCUUCAGGAAGCCCAAACACCCCAAAUAUUUUUUUUUCAUUUUUCUUUUUUUUUGGUCUAACUAACUCCAAAAGGUUGGAAAAGAGUUACUACAAAGGUUUUGGACAGUGAUUUUAACCCUAACGCCAAAACCUUAAACCUUACCCUAGCCCCAAGUCUUAAUACCCGGGUAUUACCUUCAGGAAGCCCCAACACCCCAAAUAUAUUUUUUUUCAUUUUUCAUUUUUAUUUGGUCUAACUAACUCCAAAAGGUUGGAAAAGAGAUCCUACAAAGGUUUUGGACAGUGAUUUUAACCCUAACGCCAAAAACCUUAAACCUUACCCUAGCCCCAACUCUUAAUACCCGGGUAUUACCUUCAGGAAGCCCAAACACCCCAAAUAUAUUUUUUUUCAUUUUUCAUUUUUAUUUGGUCUAACUAACUCCAAAAGGUUGGAAAAGAGAUCCUACAAAGGUUUUGGACAGUGAUUUUAACCCUAACGCCAAAAACCUUAAACCUUACCAUAGCCCCAAAACUUAUACCCGGGUAUUACCUUCAGGAAGCCUGAACACCCCAAAUAUAUUUUUUUUAUUUUUUUAUUUUAUUUGGUGUAACCAACUCCAAAAGGUCUGAAACAUGUUCCUAAAUAGGUUUUGGACAGUGAUUUUAACCCUAACGCCAAAAACCUUAAACCUUACCCUAGCCCCAAAACCUAAUACCUGGGUAUUACCUUCAGGAAGCCCAAACACCCCAAAUAUUUUUUUUUCAUUAUUCAUUUUUAUUUGGUCUAACUAACUCCAAAAGGUUGGAAAAGAGUUCCUACAAAGGUUUUGGACAGUGAUUUUAACCCUAACGCCAAAACCUUAAACCUUACCCUAGCCCCAAUUCUUAAUACCCGGGUAUUACCUUCAGGAAGCCCUAACACCCCAAAUAUAAAUAUAUUUUUUUAAAUUUUUUUUGGUCUAACUAUCUCCAAAAGGUUGGAAAAGAGUUACUGCAAAGGUUUUGGACAGUCAUUUUAACCGCAACGCCAAAAACCUUAAAACUUCCCCUAGCCCCAAAACCUAAUAUUAUUAAAGUAUUACCUUCAGGAAGCCCGAAAACCCCAAAUAUUUUUUUUUUCAUUUUUUGUUUUUUUCGGUCUAACUAACUCCAAAAUGGUUGUAAAAUUUUUACUACAAAGGUUUUGGACAGUGUUUUUAACCCUAACGCCAAAAACCUUAAACCUUCCCUUAGCCCCUAAACCUAAUACCUGGGUAUUACCUUCAGGAAGCCCGAACACCCCAAAUAUUUAUUUUUUAUUUUUUAUUUUUAUUUGGUGUAACCAACUCCAAAAGGUCUGAAACAUGUUCCUAAAUAGGUUUUGGACAGUGAUUUUAACCCUAACGCCAAAAACCUUAAACCUUACCCUAGCCCCAAAACCUAAUAGUAUUACCUUCAGGAAGCCCGAAAACCCCAAAUAUUUCUUUUUCAUUUUUCAUUUCUUUUUGGUCUAACUAACUCCAAAAGGUUGGAAAAGAGUUCCUACAAAGGUUUUGGACAGUGAUUUUAACCCUAACGCCAAAAACCUUAAACCUUACCCUAGCCACAAAACCUAAUACCCAUGUAUUAUCUUCAGGAAGCCCGAACACCACAAAUAUUUUUUUUUCAUUUUUCAUUUCUUUUUGGUCAAACUAACUCCAAAAGCUUGGAAAAGAGUUCCUACAAAGGUUUUGGACAGUGAUUUUAACCCUAACGCCAAAAACCUUAAACCUUACCCUAGCCCCAAAACCUAAUACCCGGGUAUUACCUUCAGGAAGCCCGAACACCCCAAAUAUAUUUUUUUUAUUUUUUAUUUUUAUUUGGUGUAACCAACUCCAAAAGGUCUGAAACAUGUUCCUAAAUAGGUUUUGGACAGUGAUUUUAACCCUAACGCCAAAAACCUUAAACCUUCCCCUAGCCCCAAAACCUAAUACCCGGGUAUUACCUUCAGGAAUCCCUAAAAACCCCAAAUAUUUUUUUUUCAUUUUUCAUUUCUUUUUGGUCUAACUAACUCCCAAAGCUUGGAAAAUAGUUCCUACAAAGGUUUUGGACAGUGAUUUUAACCCUAACGCCAAAAACCUUAAACCUUACCCUAGCCCCAAAACCUAAUACCCGUGCAUUAUCUUCAGGAAGCCAAAACAAGCCAAAUAUUUUUUUUUCAUUUUUCAUUUUUAUUUGGUCUAACUAACUCCAAAUGGUUGGAAAAGAGUUCCUACAAAGGUUUUGGACAGUGAUUUUAACCCUAACGCCAAAAACCUUAAACCUUUCCCUAGCCCCAAAACCUAAUACCCGUGUAUUAUCUUCAGGAAGCCCGAACACCACAAAUAUUUUUUUUUCAUUUUUCAUUUCUUUUUGGUCUAACUAACUCCAAAAGGUUGGAAAAGAGUUCCUACAAACGUUUUGGACAGUGAUUUAAACCCUAACGCCAAAACCUUAAACCUUACCCUAGCCCCAACUCUUAAUACCCGGGUAUUACCUUCAGGAAGCCCAAACACCCCAAAUAUAUUUUUUUUCAUUUUUCAUUUUUAUUUGGUCUAACUAACUCCAAAAGCUUGGAAAACAGUUCCUACAAAGGUUUUGGACAGUGAUUUAAACCCUAACGCCAAAACCUUAAACCUUACCCUAGCCCCAACUCUUAAUACCCGGGUAUUACCUUCAGGAAGCCCAAACACCCCAAAUAUUUUUUUAUUUUUUUUUAUUUUUAUUUGGUGUAACCAACUCCAAAAGGUCUGAAACAUGUUCCUAAAUAGGUUUUGGACAGUCAUUUUAACCCUAACGCCAAAAACCUUAAACCUUACCCUAGCCCCAAAACCUAAUAUUAUUAAAGUAUUACCUUCAGGAAGCCCGAAAACCCCAAAUAUUUUUUUUUUUCAUCUUUCUUUUUUUUUGGUCUAACUAACUCCCAAAGCUUGGAAAAUAGUUCCUACAAAGGUUUUGGACAGUGAUUUUAACCCUAAUGCCAAAAACCUUAAACCUUACCCUAGCCCCAACUCUUAAUACCCGGGUAUUACCUUCAGGAAGCCCAAACACCCCAAAUAUUUUUUUUUCAUUUUUCAUUUUUAUUUGGUCUAACUAACUCCAAAAGGUUGGAAAACAGUUCCUACAAAGGUUUUGGACAGUGAUUUUAACCCUAACGCCAAAACCUUAAACCUUACCCUAGCCCCAAUUCUUAAUACCCGGGUAUUACCUUCAGGAAGCCCUAACACCCCAAAUAUAAAUAUAUUUUUUUAAAUUUUUUUUGGUCUAACUAUCUCCAAAAGGUUGGAAAAGAGUUACUACAAAGGUUUUGGACAGUCAUUUUAACCGCAACGCCAAAAAACCUUAAAACUUCCCCUAGCCCCAAAACCUAAUAUUAUGCAAGUAUUACCUUCAGGAAGCCCGAAAACCCCAAAUAUUUUUUUUUUCAUUUUUUGUUUUUUUCGGUCUAACUAACUCCAAAAUGUUGGAAAAGAGUUACUACAAAGGUUUUGGACAGUGAUUUUAACCCUAACGCCAAAAACCUUAAACCUUCCCUUAGCCCCUAAACCUAAUACCUGGGUAUUACCUUCAGGAAGCCAGAACACCCCAAAUAUAUAUAUAUAUUUUUUCAUUUUUCAUUUGGUCUAACUAACUCCCAAAGGGUUGGAAAAGAGUUCCUACAAAGGUUUUGGACAGUGAUUUUAACCCUAACGCCAAAAAAACCUAAACCUUACCAUAGCCCCAAAACCUAAUUCCCGGGUAUUACCUUCAGGAAGCCCGAACCCCCUAAAUAUAUAUUUUUUUAUUUUUCAUUUGUUUUUGGUCUAACUAACUUCAAAAGGUUGGAAAAGAGUUCCUACAAAGGUUUUGGACAGUGUUUUUAACCCUAAUGCCAAAAACCUUAAACCUUACCCUAGCCCCAAAACCUAGUAGUAUUACCUUCAGGAAGCCCGAAAACCCCAAAUUCUUCUUUUUCAUUUUUCAUUUUUUUUGGUCUAACUAACUCCAAAAGGUUGGAAAAGAGUUCCUACAAAGGUUUUGGACAGUGAUUUUAACCCUAACGCCAAAAACCUUAAACCUUUCCCUAGCCACAAAACCUAAUACCCGUGUAUUAUCUUCAGGAAGCCCGAACACCACAAAUAUUUUUUUUUCAUUUUUCAUUUUUUUUGGUCUUACUAACUCCAAAAGGUUAGAAGAGUUCCUACAAACGUUUUGGACAGUGAUUUAAACCCUAACACCAAAACCUUAGACCUUACCCCAGCCCCAAAUCUUAAUACCCGGGUAUUACCUUCAGGAAGCCCGAACACCCCAAAUAUUUUUUUUUCAUUUUUCAUUUUUAUUUGGUCUAACUAACUCCAAAUGGUUGGAAAAGAGUUCCUACAAAGGUUUUGGACAGUGAUUUUAACCCUAACGCCAAAAACCUUAAACCUUUCCCUAGCCCCAAAACCUAAUACCCGUGUAUUAUCUUCAGGAAGCCCGAACACCACAAAUAUAUUUUUUUUCAUUUUUCAUUUCUUUUUGGUCUAACUAACUCCAAAAGCUUGGAAAAUAGUUCCUACAAAGGUUUUGGACAGUGAUUUAAACCCUGACGCCAAAACCUUAAACCUUACCCUAGCCCCAAAUCUUAAUACCUGGGUAUUACCUUCAGGAAGCCCAAACACCCCAAAUAUUUUUUUUUCAUUUUUCUUUUUUUUUGGUCUAACUAACUCCAAAAGGUUGGAAAAGAGUUACUACAAAGGUUUUGGACAGUGAUUUAAACCCUAACGCCAAAACCUUAAACCUUACCCUAGCCCCAAGUCUUAAUACCCGGGUAUUACCUUCAGGAAGCCCCAACACCCCAAAUAUAUUUUUUUCAUUUUUCAUUUUUAUUUGGUCUAACUAACUCCAAAAGGUUGGAAAAGAGAUCCUACAAAGGUUUUGGACAGUGAUUUUAACCCUAACGCCAAAAACCUUAAACCUUACCCUAGCCCCAACUCUUAAUACCCGGGUAUUACCUUCAGGAAGCCCAAACACCCCAAAUAUAUAUAUUUUUUCAUUUUUCAUUUUUAUUUGGUCUAACUAACUCCAAAAGGUUGGAAAAGAGAUCCUACAAAGGUUUUGGACAGUGAUUUUAACCCUAACGCCAAAAACCUUAAACCUUACCAUAGCCCCAAAACUUAUACCCGGGUAUUACCUUCAGGAAGCCUGAACACCCCAAAUAUAUUUUUUUAAUUUUUUUAUUUUAUUUGGUGUAACCAACUCCAAAAGGUCUGAAACAUGUUCCUAAAUAGGUUUUGGACAGUCAUUUUAACCCUAACGCCAAAAACCUUAAACCUUACCCUAGCCCCAAAACCUAAUACCUGGGUAUUACCUUCAGGAAGCCCAAACACCCCAAAUAUUUUUUUUUCAUUAUUCAUUUUUAUUUGGUCUAACUAACUCCAAAAGGUUGGAAAAGAGUUCCUACAAAGGUUUUGGACAGUGAUUUUAACCCUAACGCCAAAACCUUAAACCUUACCCUAGCCCCAAUUCUUAAUACCCGGGUAUUACCUUCAGGAAGCCCUAACACCCCAAAUAUAAAUAUAUUUUUUUAAAUUUUUUUUGGUCUAACUAUCUCCAAAAGGUUGGAAAAGAGUUACUGCAAAGGUUUUGGACAGUCAUUUUAACCGCAACGCCAAAAAACCUUAAAACUUCCCCUAGCCCCAAAACCUAAUAUUAUUAAAGUAUUACCUUCAGGAAGCCCGAAAACCCCAAAUAUUUUUUUUUUCAUUUUUUGUUUUUUUCGGUCUAACUAACUCCAAAAUGUUGGAAAAGAGUUACUACAAAGGUUUUGGACAGUGAUUUUAACCCUAACGCCAAAAACCUUAAACCUUCCCUUAGCCCCUAAACCUAAUACCUGGGUAUUACCUUCAGGAAGCCCGAACACCCCAAAUAUUUAUUUUUUAUUUUUUAUUUUUAUUUGGUGUAACCAACUCCAAAAGGUCUGAAACAUGUUCCUAAAUAGGUUUUGGACAGUGAUUUUAACCCUAACGCCAAAAACCUUAAACCUUACCCUAGCCCCAAAACCUAAUAGUAUUACCUUCAGGAAGCCCGAAAACCCCAAAUAUUUCUUUUUCAUUUUUCAUUUUUUUUGGUCUAACUAACUCCAAAAGGUUGGAAAAGAGUUCCUACAAAGGUUUUGGACAGUGAUUUUAACCCUAACGCCAAAAACCUUAAACCUUUCCCUAGCCACAAAACCUAAUACCCAUGUAUUAUCUUCAGGAAGCCCGAACACCACAAAUAUUUUUUUUUCAUUUUUCAUUUCUUUUUGGUCAAACUAACUCCAAAAGCUUGGAAAAGAGUUCCUACAAAGGUUUUGGACAGUGAUUUUAACCCUAACGCCAAAAACCUUAAACCUUACCAUAGCCCCAAAACUUAUACCCGGGUAUUACCUUCAGGAAGCCCGAACACCCCAAAUAUAUUUUUUUUAUUUUUUAUUUUUAUUUGGUGUAACCAACUCCAAAAGGUCUGAAACAUGUUCCUAAAUAGGUUUUGGACAGUCAUUUUAACCCUAACGCCAAAAACCUUAAACCUUCCCCUAGCCCCAAAACCUAAUACCCGGGUAUUACCUUCAGGAAUCCCUAAAAACCCCAAAUAUUUUUUUUUCAUUUUUCAUUUCUUUUUGGUCUAACUAACUCCCAAAGCUUGGAAAAUAGUUCCUACAAAGGUUUUGGACAGUGAUUUUAACCCUAACGCCAAAAACCUUAAACCUUACCCUAGCCCCAAAACCUAAUACCCGUGCAUUAUCUUCAGGAAGCCAAAACAAGCCAAAUAUUUUUUUUUCAUUUUUCAUUUUUAUUUGGUCUAACUAACUCCAAAUGGUUGGAAAAGAGUUCCUACAAAGGUUUUGGACAGUGAUUUUAACCCUAACGCCAAAAACCUUAAACCUUUCCCUAGCCCCAAAACCUAAUACCCGUGUAUUAUCUUCAGGAAGCCCGAACACCACAAAUAUUUUUUUUUCAUUUUUCAUUUCUUUUUGGUCUAACUAACUCCAACAGGUUGGAAAACAGUUCCUACAAACGUUUUGGACAGUGAUUUAAACCCUAACGCCAAAACCUUAAACCUUACCCUAGCCCCAACUCUUAAUACCCGGGUAUUACCUUCAGGAAGCCCAAACACCCCAAAUAUUUUUUUUUCAUUUUUCAUUUUUAUUUGGUCUAACUAACUCCAAAAGGUUGGAAAACAGUUCCUACAAAGGUUUUGGACAGUGAUUUAAACCCUAACGCCAAAACCUUAAACCUUACCCUAGCCCCAACUCUUAAUACCCGGGUAUUACCUUCAGGAAGCCCAAACACCCCAAAUAUAUUUUUUUUCAUUUUUCAUUUUUAUUUGGUCUAACUAACUCCAAAAGCUUGGAAAACAGUUCCUACAAAGGUUUUGGACAGUGAUUUUAACCCUAACGCCAAAACCUUAAACCUUGCCCUAGCCCCAACUCUUAAUACCCGGGUAUUACCUUCAGGAAGCCCAAACACCCCAAAUAUUUUUUUAUUUUUUUUUAUUUUUAUUUGGUGUAACCAACUCCAAAAGGUCUGAAACAUGUUCCUAAAUAGGUUUUGGACAGUCAUUUUAACCCUAACGCCCAAAACCUUAAACCUUACCCUAGCCCCAAAACCUAAUAUUAUUAAAGUAUUACCUUCAGGAAGCCCGAAAACCCCAAAUAUUUUUUUUUUCAUCUUUCUUUUUUUUUUGUCUAACUAACUCCAAAAGGUUGGAAAAGAGGUACUACAAAGGUUUUGGACAGUGAUUUAAACCCUAACGCCAAAACCUUAAACCUUACCCUAGCCCCAACUCUUAAUACCCGGGUAUUACCUUCAGGAAGCCCAAACACCCCAAAUAUAUAUUUUUUCAUUUUUCAUUUUUAUUUGGUCUAACUAACUCCAAAAGGUUGGAAAAGAGUUCCUACAAAGGUUUUGGACAGUGAUUUUAACCCUAACGCCAAAAACCUUAAACCUUACCAUAGCCCCAAAACGUAUACCCGGGUAUUACCUUCAGGAAGCCCGAACACCCCAAAUAUAUAUAUUUUUUUUUUAUUUUUAUUUGGUGUAACCAACUCCAAAAGGUCUGAAACAUGUUCCUAAAUAGGUUUUGGACAGUCAUUUUAACCCUAACGCCAAAAAAUCUUAAACCUUACCCUAGCCCCAAAACCUAAUAGUAUUACCUUCAGGAAGCCCGAAAACCCCAAAUAUUUUUUUUUCAUUUUUCUUUUUUUUUGGUCUAACUAACUCCAAAAGCUUGGAAAAGAGAUCCUACAAAGGUUUUGGACAGUGAUUUUAACCCUAACGCCAAAAACUUUCAACCUUUCCCUAGCCCCAUAACCUAAUACCCGGGUAUUACCUUCAGGAAGCCCGAACACCCCAAAUAUUUUUUUUUCAUUUUUCUUUUUUUUUUGGUCUAACUAACUCCAAAAGCUUGGAAAAGAGAUCCUACAAAGGUUUUGGACAGUGAUUUUAACCCUAACGCCAAAAACCUUAAACCUUACCAUAGCCCCAAAACCUAAUACCCGUGCAUUAUCUUCAGGAAGCCAAAACAAGCCAAAUAUUGUUUUUUUUUCAUUUUUAUUUGGUCUAACUAACUCCAAAAGGUUGGAAAACAGUUCCUACAAAGGUUUUGGACAGUGAUUUAAACCCUAACGCCAAAACCUUAAACCUUACCCUAGCCCCAACUCUUAAUACCCGGGUAUUACCUUCAGGAAGCCCAAACACCCCAAAUAUAUAUUUUUUCAUUUUUCAUUUUUAUUUGGUCUAACUAACUCCAAAAGGUUGGAAAAGAGUUCCUACAAAGGUUUUGGACAGUGAUUUAAACCCUAACGCCAAAACCUUAAACCUUACCCUAGCCCCAACUCUUAAUACCCGGGUAUUACCUUCAGGAAGCCCAAACACCCCA